CAGUAGCCGCGGUAAUACGUAGGUGGCAAGCGUUGUCCGGAAUUAUUGGGCGUAAAGGGCUCGCAGGCGGUUUCUUAAGUCUGAUGUGAAAGCCCCCGGCUCAACCGGGGAGGGUCAUUGGAAACUGGGAAGCUUGAGUGCAGAAGAGGAGAGUGGAAUUCCACGUGUAGCGGUGGAAUGCGUAGAGAUGUGGAGGAACACCAGUGGCGAAGGCGACUCUCUGGUCUGUAACAGACGCUGAGGAGCGAAAGCGUGGGGAGCGAACAGGAUUAGAUACCCGCGUAGUCCCUGUCUCUUAUAC
rnacentral:rRNA from 1 species